rnacentral:rRNA from 1 species
ACUAACGCUGGCGGCGUGCCUAACACAUGCAAGUCGAGCGGGGUAGCAAUACCCAGCGGCAGACGGGUGAGUAACGCGUAAAUAACGUGCCCCUUUGUUCGGGAUAGCUGGCCGAAAGGCCAGGUAAUACCGGAUGUGGCCCUCGAGAGACAUCUCUUGAGGAAGAAAGCAGCAAUGCGCAAGGGGAUCGGUUUGCGACCUAUCAGCUAGUUGGCGAGGUAACGGCUCACCAAGGCUUCGACGGGUAGCCGGUCUGAGAGGAUGAUCGGCCACACUGGCACUGAGAUACGGGCCAGACUCCUACGGGAGGCAGCAGUGAGGAAUUUUGCGCAAUGGGCGAAAGCCUGACGCAGCGACGCCGCGUGAGGGAUGAAGGUCUUCGGAUCGUAAACCUCUGUCAGUGGGGAAGAGUACGGACGGUACCCGCUGAGGAAGCUUCGGCUAACUACGU